CAGUCGCCACGGUAAUACGGAGGGUGCAAGCGUUAUCCGGAUUUACUGGGUUUAAAGGGUGCGCAGGCGGAUAUGUAAGUCAGUGGUGAAAUCUCUAGGCUUAACCUGGAAAUUGCCGUUGAUACUAUAUAUCUUGAAUGCUGUGGAGGUAAGCGGAAUAUGUCAUGUAGCGGUGAAAUGCUUAGAUAUGACAUAGAACACCUAUUGCGAAGGCAGCUUACUACGCAGAUAUUGACGCUCAUGCACGAAAGCGUGGGGAUCAAACAGGAUUAGAUACCCCUGUAGUCCCUGUCUCUUAUAC
rnacentral:rRNA from 1 species